AGCCAGCACUACAAGAACUGCUAAAAGGAGCUUGAAUCCUAGAUCUUCCAUGAGAAUGACCAUAAUCAAAAAAUUUAAAAAAAUAUUAGAUGUUGGAAAGGACAUGAACUCAUCAUUUUUUAUGGCUGCAUAGUAUUCCAUGGUAUAUAUGUGCCACAUUUUCUUAAUCCAGUCUAUCAUUGUUGGACAUUUGGGUUGGUUCCAAGUCUUUGCUAUUGUGAAUAAUGCUGCA
rnacentral:lncRNA from 1 species